rnacentral:rRNA from 1 species
CGAGGAAUAUUGGUCAAUGGGCGCAAGCCUGAACCAGCCAUCCCGCGUGCAGGAAGACGGCCCUAUGGGUUGUAAACUGCUUUUCCAGGGAGAGAAACCUGCGCACGUGUUGCGCAAUUGACGGUACCCUGGGAAUAAGCAUCGGCUAACUCCGAGCCAGCAGCCGCGGUAAUACGGAGGAUGCAAGCGUUAUCCGGAUUCAUUGGGUUUAAAGGGUGCGUAGGCGGACUAUUAAGUCAGUGGUGAAAGCCUGCAGCUUAACUGCAGAACUGCCAUUGAUACUGAUAGUCUUGAGUUUGGUUAAGGUAGGCGGAAUGUGUAAUGUAGCGGUGAAAUGCUUAGAUAUUACACAGAACACCAAUUGCGUAGGCAGCUUACUGAGCCGACACUGACGCUGGGGCACGAAAGCGUGGGGAUCGAACAG